AGAGUUUGAUCCUGGCUCAGGAUAAACGCUGGCGGCGCACAUAAGACAUGCAAGUCGAACGAACUUAACCAUUAGUUUACUAUUGGAGCGGUUAGUGGCGGACUGGUGAGUAACACGUAAGCAACCUGCCUAUCAGAGGGGAACAACAGUUAGAAAUGACUGCUAAUACCGCAUAUGCCUUGAGUAUCACAUGGUACAAAAGGGAAAGGAGCAAUCCGCUGAUAGAUGGGCUUGCGUCUGAUUAGAUAGUUGGUGAGGUAACGGCCCACCAAGUCGACGAUCAGUAGCCGGACUGAGAGGUUGAACGGCCACAUUGGGACUGAGAUACGGCCCAGACUCCUACGGGAGGCAGCAGUCGGGAAUAUUGCGCAAUGGAGGAAACUCUGACGCAGUGACGCCGCGUGCAGGAAGAAGGUUUUCGGAUUGUAAACUGCUUUAGACAGGGAAGAAACAAGACAGUACCUGUAGAAUAAGCUCCGGCUAACUACGUGCCAGCAGCCGCGGUAAUACGUAGGGAGCAAGCGUUGUCCGGAUUUACUGGGUGUAAAGGGUGCGUAGGCGGCUUUGCAAGUCAGAUGUGAAAUCUAUGGGCUCAACCCAUAGCCUGCAUUUGAAACUGCAGAGCUUGAGUGAAGUAGAGGCAGGCGGAAUUCCCCGUGUAGCGGUGAAAUGCGUAGAGAUGGGGAGGAACACCAGUGGCGAAGGCGGCCUGCUGGGCUUUAACUGACGCUGAGGCACGAAAGCGUGGGUAGCAAACAGGAUUAGAUACCCUGGUAGUCCACGCUGUAAACGAUGAUUACUAGGUGUGGGGGGUCUGACCCCUUCCGUGCCGGAGUUAACACAAUAAGUAAUCCACCUGGGGAGUACGGCCGCAAGGUUGAAACUCAAAGGAAUUGACGGGGGCCCGCACAAGCAGUGGAGUAU
rnacentral:rRNA from 1 species